rnacentral:rRNA from 1 species
UACGUAGGGGUCGAGCGUUGUCCGGAGUUACUGGGCGUAAAGAGUGCGUAGGCGGUUUUCUAAGUUUGGUGUGAAAUCUCCCGGCUUAACUGGGAGGGUGCGCCGAAGACUGGAAGGCUUGAGUAUGGGAGAGGUAAGCGGAAUUCCUGGUGUAGCGGUGAAAUGCGUAGAUAUCAGGAGGAACACCUGUGGUGUAGACAGCUUACUGGACCAUUUCUGACGCUGAGACACGAAAGCGUGGGUAGCAAACAGG